rnacentral:rRNA from 1 species
UACGGAGGGUGCAAGCGUUAUCCGGAUUCACUGGGUUUAAAGGGUGCGUAGGCGGGCAGGUAAGUCAGUGGUGAAAUCCUAGAGCUUAACUCUAGAACUGCCAUUGAUACUAUCUGUCUUGAAUAUUGUGGAGGUAAGCGGAAUAUGUCAUGUAGCGGUGAAAUGCUUAGAUAUGACAUAGAACACCAAUUGCGAAGGCAGCUCGUUACACGAAGAUUGACUCUGAGGCACGAAAGCGUGGGGAUCAAACAGG